AACGACUCUCGGCAACGGAUAUCUCGGCUCUCGCAUCGAUGAAGAACGUAGCGAAAUGCGAUACUUGGUGUGAAUUGCAGAAUCCCGUGAACCAUCGAGUCUUUGAACGCAAGUUGCGCCCGAAGCCAUUAGGUUGAGGGCACGUCUGCCUGGGCGUCAC
rnacentral:rRNA from 9 species